CCCUUAGAUGUUCUGGGCUGCACGCGCGCUACACUGAAGCGUUCAACGAGUAUUCACCUUGCCCGGGAGGGUUGGGUAAUCUUUUGAAAACGCUUCGUGAUGGGGAUAGAUUAUUGCAAUUAUUAAUCUUCAACGAGGAAUUCCUAGUAAGCGCGAGUCAUCAGCUCGUGCUGAUUACGUCCCUGCCCUUUGUACACACCGCCCGUCGCUACUACCGAUUGAAUGGUUUAGUGAGAUCUCUGGAUUGACGCUGGCUAGGGGGCGACCCUUGGCCAGACUGUUGAGAAACUGCUCAAACUUGAUCAUUUAGAGGAAGUAAAAGUCGUAACA
rnacentral:rRNA from 1 species